rnacentral:rRNA from 1 species
AUUGAACGCUGGCGGCAGGCCUAACACAUGCAAGUCGAGCGAGUGGCGGACGGGUGAGUAAUGUCUGGGGAACUGCCCGAUAGAGGGGGAUAACUACUGGAAACGGUGGCUAAUACCGCAUACCAUCGGAUGUACCCAUAUGGGAUUAGCUAGUAGGUGGGGUAAAGGCUCACCUAGGCGACGAUCCCUAGCUGGUCUGAGAGGAUGAUCAGCCAAACUGGAACUGAGACACGGUCCAGACUCCUACGGUAGGCAGCAGUGGGGAAUAUUGCACAAUGGGCGCAAGCCUGAUGCAGCCAUGCCGCGUGUAUGAAGAAGGCCUUAGGGUUGUAAAGUACUUUCAGCGGGGAGGCGUUACCCGCAGAAGAAGCACCGGCUAACUCCGUGCCAGCAGCCGCGGUAAUAC